GAUGAAGAACGCAGCGAAAUGCGAUAAGUAAUGUGAAUUGCAGAAUUCAGUGAAUCAUAGAAUCUUUGAACGCACAUUGCGCCCGCCAGUAUUCUGGCGGGCAUGCCUGUUCGAGCGUCAUUUCAACCAUCAAGCCCCCGGCUUGUCUUGGGGACCUGCGGCUGCCGCAGGCCCUGAAAACCAGUGGCGGGCUCGCUAGUCACUCCGAGCGUAGUAAUACAUCUCGCUCAGGGCGUGCUGCGGGUUCCGGCCGUUAAAAAGCCUUAUUUACCCAAGGUUGACCUCGGAUCAGGUAGGAAGACCCGCUGAACUUAAGCAUAUCAAUAAGCGGAGGA
rnacentral:misc_RNA from 1 species